CUUUGAAUGGUAAUGAUUUGU
rnacentral:siRNA from 1 species